rnacentral:rRNA from 1 species
CCUACGGGAGGCAGCAGUGGGGAAUAUUGGACAAUGGGGGCAACCCUGAUCCAGCAAUUCUGUGUGCACGAAGAAGGUUUUCGGAUUGUAAAGUGCUUUCAGCAGGGAAGAAGAAAGUGACGGUACCUGCAGAAGAAGCGACGGCUAAAUACGUGCCAGCAGCCGCGGUAAUACGUAUGUCGCAAGCGUUAUCCGGAAUUAUUGGGCAUAAAGGGCAUCUAGGCGGCCAGACAAGUCUGGGGUGAAAACUUGCGGCUCAACCGCAAGCCUGCCCUGGAAACUGUUUGGCUAGAGUGCUGGAGAGGUGGACGGAACUGCACGAGUAGAGGUGAAAUUCGUAGAUAUGUGCAGGAAUGCCGAUGAUGAAGAUAGUUCACUGGACGGCAACUGACGCUGAAGUGCGAAAGCUAGGGGAGCGAACAGGAUUAGAUACCCUGGUAGUCCUAGCUGUAAACGAUGAUUACUGGGUGUGGGCAUGAAGAGUGUCCGUGCCGAAGCAAAUGCGAUAAGUAAUCCGCCUGGGGAGUACGGCCGCAAGGCUGAAACUCAAAGGAAUUGACGG